UAAAAUUCGGGAGACCCCUGUUCUUAUAUAUUCCCGAAGUCCUCCAUUUCCACCCUACAAAAAUCGACCAUACCAGCAACUAACUUCUCCAAAAAAUUAAAACCAUCCCCCCACUCCAAGAAAAGCCAUCAACGCCAACAUACACAGAAAGAAAAAGAGGAAUAACGGCAGCCAUGGAACUGAUUUUGAAAGGGAUAUUUGAUCUCAUUUGAAAGAACAAGAAAGCCAGUAGCUCUUGGAAUUCCAAAGAAACACCGACACAGCCGCACACGACAAAAUAACAAAAAAAGAGGGCUAAAAUAACUUCAUCUCUACUAGUUAAAUAACGCCUCACAUAUACAAUUACAUGGGCUCCAAUUUCUUCCUCACACAAGCAUAUCACUGUUGAGGGAAUUUUCACUACUUGAAGUUGAGUCGAGGUGCCGAUUCGAGUUUCUGUCUGGGAUUUGAGUGUACGGUUUCUUGUUCUUUGGUUGCUGAAGCUUCAAACUUCCAUUGUCAUAUUCACUUAUGUUUGAUCCCAAGCGAAAUUUAAUUAAAAAUUUUGCAUGCUCAGGUCCGUUUCUUUUCCCUUUUUUCCCCUUCUAUUUUGAUGUGUGAGUUAAAUGUAUUACUGGCCUUCUUUUUUUUUUCUGAAUUUCAAUUUGAUAUUCUCAUGUCUAGUUUCUUUCCAGUUAGGCUUAUUAUGUGUUCGAGUUUGUAUUUUGAAUUAUUUUCUUUAAAAAAGAGAAAAAGGAAAACGGGUUAUUAUCUGUUGUGUGUUGGAAGUUUCCAAAAUCAAGAAAACAUAAAUAGGACAAAUGUUCGUUUUUUUAUCUUUAUGUUAGUAUCUGUUGGGUGUUAGUAUCUUUCCAGGUCUGCUUCAUUUUCAUGUUUGUUUUAGAGUAAUGCAUGAUAAGAGGGGUUGCUCUGAUGGUAACCAACUUCCAUUUCCAAUCGAGAGGUUGUGAGUUCGAGUCUCCCCAAGAGUAAGGUGGGAAUUUCUUGGAGGAAAGGAUGCCGGGGGUCUAUUUGGAAACAGACUUUCUACCCAAGGGUAGGGGUAAGGUCAGCGUACAUACUAUCCUCCCCAGACCCUACUAUUGGGAUUAUACUGGGUCGUUGUUGUUGUUUUAGAGUAAUGUAUAUCAUUAGUAAUAUGUUUGUUUAGUGAGAGUUUUAAGAAUGAUGGAAUGUGAAUAGGUAAAGUAGAUUUUGAUAGGAAUAGUUUGGUUAUUUCUGUGAAUCAAAUUUCAUGUGUGGAAUCAGAAUAAACGUGUCUUAACUUUAAAUUCUUUUGUAAAAAGCGGUUAUUCUUUAAAUAGUUGUCUUAAAAUCGGCUAUUUCUGCACACCGCAAUGUUGAUAUAGAAAUAAUUUCAAUGCCUUUUGUAAUAGUUGGUCUCUUUUGCAGUCCUUGAUAUGAUAUAAGAAGCUGAAUAUCAGUAGAAAUACUCUAGGCACGUUUAAUCUAUAACCGUGAUAGUAUAUACGUUCGUGUGAUAUAAUUACGAUUCUACAAAAUAAAAUCAAGGUGUGCGUUAGCACAACUUCGACUAAAUAUUCUUAACAAUAAUAAAACGUUAUUAAUUGUGGACAUGUUCGCGUAACAUGAUUUUUGACGUACCAAACGAAACGAAUACACAUACACGUGAUACGGUUUAAGAUAAUUCCUUCAGUAUGAAUAAAUCAAGAUUAAAAGCGGUUAAGGGAGGGGAUGCACAUAGGUUCUAAAAAUAAGUAAUUAGCCAAUUUAUUUAAGCCAAGCAUGAUCAGAACGAACAUGCUCGAACCACGAAACUCGAGAGUAUCUAACACUUUCUCCUGGGUUAACAAAGUUCCUUACCCGGAUUUCUCUGUUCACAGACCGUAAAUAAGAGUCAACUUCCUCGAUUCGGGAUUUUACACCAGUGACUUGGGACACCAUAAAUUAUUCCAAGUAGCGACUCUGUUCUUUAGAUCAAUAAUUCCAUUUCGAUUGUCACUUUAAUAGGAAAAAGCUCCCUUAUACCCUUCCAGGGUGUAGUAAAAAGGAGGUGUGACAACCUCAAAGGAGUCAAAUCGCACGAUAUGGGAUCCAGAAGGAAAGUACUCCUAACAGCCUUGUAGCCUCCCGAAGAUAAGUACAAACGUCUUUGUACCGAUCCGCAAGACUCCACUAUACUUGCUCAUGACUCGUGAGACCUAAGGGAACCUAGUGCUCUGAUACCAUGUUAUCACAACCCAAAAUCUACUAAAGGUCGUGAUGGUGCCGGACACUACUGUCAGCAAGCCAACCAAACCACUUGAUUAAGUUCUUAUUUUAAUAAUUUUGAAAACUAAGAUUUUCCUUCAAUUUUAAUAGUAAAAAGAUAAUCUUUACAAUGUAAAUGAAAAAAAUAUUUAGAAGUACAAGAUACCCAAUAAUCAUUCCAAAAACCGGUGUCACAAGUGCAUGAGCAUUUACUAAGAAGGAAAUAAAACACAACAACCGUCCGAAAGCAAUAUUGGAUAGAAAAUAAAUACAGUUAUCUGAAAGAGACUCUGUUGGUUGUGGGUCUCCUCGAGAAGUGCAGCUCAUUUAAUUCUCCAUAUCAACCAUGUUGCUACGCCCAGUAGGGCACUAGGGAUGCAUAAUGCAUGUGCAACAAAAAUGCACAGAAGUGUAGUAUGAGUAAAAAAUGUGGAUUUAUCAAUGUAGUAUGAGUACAAGAAAGUAGAGAAAAGAGGUCGACUUCGACACUUACUAAGGGUCCAAUAAUGUUAUUAUCAAUGAUAUAUUAACUCUUGGAUUCUUAUAAGCAUAAUUUUAACCCAAUAGUGAAGCAAGUAAAUAAUUCUUUCUUUUAUAGGAAAUUUUCAAAUUCCUUUUCAUCAUUUACACAAAUAUUCUCAAGCCGAGAAGAGGCUACAACAACUUUAACAAGUUCAAGGCAAGUAAUACUAGCAUGUGCAAAUCAUGCCUAGGACGUACUGCUCAAUCCAAUAGAAAAUAAACUGUACAUUGCCGAGGAUCGAACGACGCGAACCAUAGAUGCAUCUAUUUAAUCUGCUGAGGCAUUUGGCCCGUUCCAAAAAUAAAUACACUGACAGUCAAUCAAGAAGUCCACACGGAGCAAAUAUCCAGAGAAAACAAAUCCUCUUUUAACCAUUUAAGAAAAAUAAAGUUUUAUCUGUUUAGAAAUUCAUUUACUAAUUCAAUGUGAUUUAUGCAAUUCAAGUUGUCAAUAAGUUCACAAAUAAUCCAAGACAAUAGCAUAAUAGUAGCUACACACAGACUCUCGUUACCUCGUGCGUAUAUAGCCCCCACAAAUAGGAGCACAUAACUAAUUAUUUUACUUAUGGGGACAAUUCCUUCUUACAAGGUUAGAAAGGAGGCUCGCCUCGCUCCAAAGAUCCAUAACCGGCAUUCCACGCCCUUCUGAAGACUCAAAUUGAUGCGCAACGCUCUGAAACUAGCCAAUAAGUACGAAAAACCAUUAAUAUAUGCUCAAUUACUCACUACAAUCUAAUUUAUAGAAAUUCCUAACUCCGAUCGAAAAGUUGGUAAAAUUGCCCUCAGGACCAUGCACCUGGAAUCCGAAAUUUUUUUAACAUAAAGUUUAUCCAUGAACCCACGAAUUCAAAAAUAUGAUUUUCUCCUAGUUCCAUGCCCAAAAUCAUAGUCAUAAUCCAGGAAUACUAAUUUUCUAGGUUUUCCUCAAACCCUCAAAUUUCUACCACUUUCCAUGCUGAAAUCCAUACAUAAUCAAUAUAUUCAACUCUAGAUAGGUGGUAAUAGCUUACAUUGACGUUGAUGAUAAAAACCCCUAUUGAAACUCUCAAAAAUCGCCCAAGCCAAGAAAAUAUGAGAGAAAAUGGACAAAUCUCGAUUUUAAAACAACCUACUAUCUCCAGCACUUUCCGCACUUGCGGUCUUUUGACUGCUUCUGCGAUUCUGCAGGUGCGGUUCAAAUAUUGCUUCUGCGGUCCUCACCAGGCUUCCCUUUUCCGCUUCUGCAUCUUCUCCACCGCAUGUGCGGUCCCUCAUCUGUAGCAAAUGACAGCACCUACGGUCCCAGCUCUCCUCCGCCAAUACCGCAUAUGCGCCUCUUCUGGCCGCUUCUGCGGCUCCGCACUUGCAAUCCAAUUCUCGCAGGUGUGUUUAUAACAGCAUCCAGUAACUUCAGCCUUCAAAAAAUUUCAUUUUUGAUCUGUUAACCACCCGGAAUCCACCCGAGGCCCCUGUGACCCCAACCAAUCAUACCAACCAGUCCCAAAAUAUAUUACGAACUUGCUCAAUGCCUCAAAUAAUAUCAAACAAUGUUAAAAUCUCGAAUCGACCUCUAAUCGAAGCUUUAUGAACUCUAGAACUUCAAACUUCACUCUUGAUGUUAAAACCUAUCAAAUUACGCCUGAUUGACCCAAAAUUUUGCACACAAGUUAUAUUUGACAUUGCGGACUUAUUCCAACUUCCGGAAUCGAAAUCCGCCCCGCUAUCAAAAAGUCAACUUCCGGUCAAACUCUUCAAAAACCUUCAACUUCUAUCUUUAACCAAAUGACUCCAAAAUGACCUACGGACCUCCGAAUUCACUUCUGAUCGCGCUCCCAACUCAAGAAUCACCAUACAAAACUUUUCCUAGUCUCAAAAUCCCAAACGGACAUCGAUAAUACUGAAAUGCACUUCAAGCCAAACUUAUAAAAUUUCUUCCAAAAUGCUAACUUCCACAAUAGGCGCCAAAACACUCUCGGGUCAUCCAAAACCUUAUCCUGGCAUACGCCCAAGACAGCAAAAAUCUGGCCAUGGGGGAGCCAGUAGGGCUUAGGGUGGUGGUGAGCCACCAUUAUUACCGGUGAGCAAGCAACCGACGAAGGGGAGUGAGGGUUUAGGUAGAGGGAAUUUGAGAGAGAAUGAGAGGGAUGACAGCGGGUGAGUGAGGAGUGAAUGAGGGGUUUGGGGGUAUAGGUUUAGGUUAAAUUAGGAAAGAACGAAUCCGAGCUAUUGAUCAAAAUUGAUCAACGGGCGGGAUUUAAUCAGAAUUGGGUCGGUAGUAUUAGCAAUUGGGCUUGGGGCAUGGGUAUUUGGGCUGCUUUAAUUAAGGCUAAAAUUAAAUUAGAAAUGGACUAUUUGUUAAAUACCCAAAUUAAAUUCGUCAAAAAUAGUUUAUAACAUAAUUAUUAAUUAUAAAAAGUGAUUCUAUUGCAUAAGAAUAAUUUAGAAACGAUUAUUUGGUAUUUAAUAAUAUAAAGGACUAAUUUCUGGUAAAAUAGUAGUGAGAAAUUAUACGUAUGGGCUAUAAUUACAAAGUUUUUGCAAUUAUAGCCAAAAGUUGCCAAUUUGACUAUUUAUGGAACAAUUUGGUCUUAAUAGGACCAUAAACAAUAAAUUAAAUCAAGAAAUACCUUUGAAAUCAUUUGUGAUACAAUUUUGUAAUCAUUUGUUGGAAAUAAAAUACUCUACAUAUUAAAAAUGUGAAAAUAUUAUGGAGAAAAUACCAAUUGGUGUUAAGCAUGAUUUUGAAGGUAUAUAUGCAACUAAAAUAUUUCGAUAAAAAUUGGGUAUCAACAGUGGCUAGGUGGCUUGCUCGAGUGGAAUGACUGCUGAAAUCACCCCGUGCAAGGCACACUCGAUACUUAGAGGUGCAUAAUACAGCUUCGAGGGCCUAGGAGUAGCCAGAUUACCAUUGGUGGCUGGAAGUACUGAAUGAACGGGGCGACUCACAUAGCCUCUACCAUGGCAAACUGUAGCUGAUGCACGAGUACCAUUAUAAGAGCAAGAUUGUCGAGACCUCUUGGCCUCGCUCUCUUCUCUCUCUAGAGCAAGCAUGUCGUCCACUCUCCUAGCAACACUCACAACCUACUGGUACAAGAUAUCCAUCUCCAAAUCCCGGUGCAUGCUAAUCCUGAUGCUGGAUGGAGCCCCUCAAUAAACAGGCGGACCAUAUCUUAAACUGUAGCAACCAAGGCUGGUGUAUGUCUAGCCAAAUUACUGAAGUGGACUGCAUACUCUAACAUAGUCAUAGCAUCCUAAAGCAACUUCUCAAACUCGGUGCGCCAUGCAUCUCUGAGGCUUUGGGAACAUACUCCCGCAAAAAUAUAUACGAGUACUGAUUCCAUGUAAGUGAAGCUGCCUUACCCGAACUGUCCAACUCAUAAGCACACCACCACUGAUAGUUUGUUCCUCUAAGGUGGAACGCAGUGAACGAAACCCACUCGACUCCGCUACGCCCUUAAUAUGGAGGAUACGGUGGAACUCCUCAAGAAAACCCUGAGAAUCCUUUGACUCUAAACCACUGAAAGUAGGAGGAUGGUACUUCUUGUAACUCUCGAGCCUACACUGCUCCUUUCAAAAAUUGGUUCCCUAGCCUCGGGUUGAACUAGGGCUACUGGUGACACCAGUAUAACCUCUGGAAUGUGAUUGACUUGAAACCGUUGCUCUGGGGUGCGGUCGGCGAGAGUCUGUGCUCCUCCCCUGACCUGAACCUCCGAAUUAGCAAGGGGAAUCAGCCCUGCCUGAGCUAGAGUAUCGAACAUACUCAGGAACUGUGAAGGGUCUCCUGAAUAGCUGGUGCAGUAGUAGGCAUCUCAGGUGCUUGCGAUCCGAGUGGAGCUGCUGGUGGCUCCUCUGUAGCAGCUCUUCCGGGUGCUUUGGCUGCACCAGAUAGACGUCCUCGGUCUCUACCCCGGUCUCGACCUCUCGCAACUCUAGCAGGGGGCGCGGGUGCCUAGUCAUCUAAUCCAGCUGUACGUGUCCUCACCAUAUGUGAGAGAAUAGAAGAUAGAAAUUAAGAAUUUAGAAGCCAACAGUUUCGCACAACGAGGAAUCAAAAGAAGUGAAAUUUUCCUAACAGUUCCAUAACCCCCCAAAGAUAAUUACAGACGUCUCCAUAUCGAUUCGCAAGACUCUAGUGAACCUUCUUGUGACUCACAACACCAAUGACCUGGAGCUCUAAUACCAUCUUGUCAUGACCAAAUCCUUUCUCUGUGAGAUAUCAUGAUAGCACCUAGCCGCUACGACUAGGUAAGCCUAAUAUUUGUGAAAAUAACCAAAAAUGAAAGUAAAACCUUAACAACUAACAACAACAGAUAUUUAUAUAACUGAUAGAAAUGCCGCUAGGCAUGUUCAAUAACCAACUCCCGAAGUAUACAAAAAAUUUUUCAGGACCCAAAACACCAUAAAUCACACGCUUCUAAGAAUUUAUCUAACUAUUUCAAUACAUCAGUAACUAGAAUGAGUAAAAGGAGGAACAACAUUAAAGGGAUAGAGGGAGACUCCGAGGUCUGCAGACACAAGCAGGUGUACCUUCAGGUGUCUGGAGCAGCAGCAAGUACGCAACUAAUAGCGUGGUUGGUAGGAGGUAUGUGGAUCUGCACACGAAAAUAUGUGUAGAAGAGUAGCAUAAGUACACCACAACGAUACCUAGUAAGUGCCAAGCCUAACCUCCUCGGUCUAUAGUGACGAGGUUAGGUCAGGGCACUUUUGGCAUAUAUAAAUUAAAUAAGACAGAUUAAAAAUAUCGCAGUGUAAUAAGAGACUGAAAUUUAACAAAAAGAAAAUCACAGAAAAAUAACAAUACAGUACAUAGGGGUAAAACAGUAGGAGAUCUCCUGAGAUACCGUCUUGUAGUCCCAAAAGUAAAUGUAUAGGGUGGUCUCUCCGGAUACUGUCCCAUAGUCCCAAUGUAAAUAUACAGGGGAAUCUUUCGGGAUAUCGUCCUGUAGUCUCAAUGUAAAUAUGCAAGGGAAUCUCCCGGAAUACCGUCUCGUAGUCCCAAAAUAAAUACACAACUCAAAACAAAGGAAUAACAUGUACAACAAGAAAAUCCUACAGUUUAGACUAAGCACACGUCAAGGAAGAAUAACAAAAUCCACUAAGCAAGCUGCACAUAGUUCAGAUAAGCACUUAAGACAAGUAGACAUGUUAUACUAGGCUAAACAGGAUAACUAUACAUGCCGGUACAACUCAAUCAAGAUAAAACAAGUUAUUACUCAGUAAAAAUUGGAUUGUACAACAAAUAGCCAGUGUACGCACUUGUCACCUCACGUACGCGGCUCUCACAUAUCACAACAGUGCCAAAUCCUAGGAGGAGUUCUCCCACAAAAGGUUAGGCAGGCCAUUUACCUCGAACCGAGCUCAAUCAAUCAAUAACAAUGCCUUUUCCAUGAUUUUUUGACUCUGAAUGGCCCAAAUCUAGCCAAAUGCAAUUAUAUACCAUAAAUAUAAUUAUAAGAAACUAAUCUAUUAAUAAAAUCAAGGCUUGAGCAAUAAAUUAGGAAAAUCGCCUCAAAAAGUGGACUCAGGCUAACGUCCCAAAAUCAGGUAAAAGUCACAAAAUUUGGACACCAAUUCAGUCACGAGUUCACUUGUGCCACAAUUAUCCAAAUUUGAUUUCAAAAUCUCAAUCAAAACUCAAAAACUUAGUUGAAGAACUUCACUCAUUUUUUCCAAAUUUUCAACCCAAAUCCAAAACUAAAGGAUGUAACUAAUGAUAAAUUAGUGGGAUAUAACAAAAAACAAUUGAAGAAUCAUUAUCCAAUCAAUGUCUCUAAAAAUACCUCAAACUUUCGUCCAAAUCCGAGCUCUCUAUCUCAAGUUUUGAUAAAACUGACCAAACCAUCAAUUUUGAAAUGUUUAAUACUGCUCAUGCAUUCCUUCUUCGCGAACGCGAAAGAACCCUCGCUUUCGUGAAGAGCAACUUACUCCAGCCCAGAAAUCCUGCAGCGCAAACAGAGUGUCCUUAUCGCGAAUGGGAAGGUCACUCAACUUGACCCUACGCGAACGAGGGACCAACAUCGCGAACGAGUAGGCAAAAGGGCCUAGGGACCUAGUUGGCUAAUUCCUCUAUGCGAAUGCGGGACCUCCAUCUCGAAUGCGUGGACCAACUACCCCAGUGAUUCGUGAAUGCGGGACCUCCAUCGCGAACGUGAAUCAUAAAAUCCCACCUACCUCCAGUUCCUCUUCACGAAUGCGGGACUCCCCUUGCAAAUGCAAAGAAGAAAACCAGAACUGGAGAACAAUAGAAAAUCCGCAAUCUUUCCUAAGUAAUGAUCCUAUAACCAUCCGAAAUCAACCCGAUGCCUCCGGAACCUCAACCAACCAUACUUAACAGUCCUAAAACACCAUAAGAACUUAGUCAAGACCUCAACACACAUCAAACAACAACAAAAAUACGAAUCACCCCCAAUCCAAACUUAACAAACUUUGAAACUUCAAUCUUCUACAACCGAUCUAAAACCUAUCAAACCACGUCCAAUUGACCUUCAAUUACGCAUACAAGUCGUAUUUAACAUUACGGACCUACUCUAACUUCCGGAAUCAGAAUUAGAUCCGAUAUUAGAAAGUCCACUUCCAGUCAAAAUCUCCAAAAAUUUGACUUUCGCCAUUUCAAACCUAGGUCAUCUACAGACCUCCAAUUCACAAUUCGGACAUGCUUCUACUUAAAAAUUUAUCCAGCAAAGCUAAUAGAACCAUCGAAACUCCAUUCUGGAGUCGUCUUCACACAGUUCCAAUUAUUGUCAAAAUCCUAAGACUUAAGCUUCUGUUUUAAAGACAAAGUGUCCCAAUUCACUCUGAAACCUCAAACAAUACCUUCCGACAAGUCACGUAAGCAGAAAAAGAUAGGAAGAAAACAGUAAAUAAGGGAUCGGGGCUACUCUUAAAAUGGCCGGCCGGACUGUUACAUCUCUAUGUCCAUUAAUUUGUUCUUGAACAUCUUCACUCGUUAUUUUAUUUUUAUGAAAUAUCAUUUCUAAAUUAACACAUGCACCCAUAUUAAUAAUAUGCUCUUUUGAUAUUUCAUAAGCUUUAAGCUUAGCACUUAUAUUUCUCAGUCUCUAUUACAAUCACUAACUAAUAUGUUGCUACAAGUGCUAGAAGUUUUAUUAAAUAACUUACAACAAUAAUAAAAUAUUUUAUUCAAAUCUUUAGAAUAAAGUAAUCAUAUUUUUUUCUUUUCAUGAAAUUAUACUUUUUGAAGAUAUUAGAAUAUUUUAAAAGAAAUUUAGUCUCCCCAUAGGGGUUGGGCCUCAAGUAGUUGCUUGACUUGGGCCUUCCCUGCCUUUGUUAAGGACAACCAAGAGAUGCCUAACUCUGAAAGGACCAUUUUUUGGAAAAAAUUAUUAGCUAUAUUUAUGUAUAAGUAGCUCAUUACAAAAAUUAGCCAACUGAUAAAAUAUUAUUAAUAUUAGCAUUAGCUAUUUAUAGCAAAAAAUUAAGAUUUUGCUUUGUUUUGAUUGGGUGUUAUUAGAAUAGAUUGGGCACAACUUAAGGAGCUUGAAUUUCAGUUUUGGGAUGAUUUGGUGAAGUUUUGACGUGGUUUUAACUGAAGAUUCGAAGUUAAAGCUGAACAUGAACAAAAUGAUAUAUGUAUCACAUUGUGUAUUAUUGGUGUAUCAUAUAUGUAUUUAUAUCAAUUGUGUAUCUCAUGUAUAUACAUCCAUGUAUACCUGUGUGUGAGACAUGCGCGAUACAUGUUUGAUGCAUGUCUUGCAGAAGACUUUUUUUAAAUCGAUUUGAUUACGAGUUUUGAACAAAACCAGUCCAAAUCACCUCCAAUCUUCCUUAAAUUUUGUAUAUUGACUUAUUUUUAUAUUUUCAAUGAAUUUCAACUAUACUCAUUGAAAAAGUUCCUUUUUUUUAGAUUUUUGGAAUAUUAUAUAGACUUCUGUAUUUCAUCACCUUAUUUGCUAUUCCGUCCAUGAAAUUUCCUUUCCGUUUUGUAUCUAAUGUUGCUAAUCAUGCUUAAACAUAUGGAAGGUGAUUUUUUCAUGUGAUUCUUUGAUAGAAAGAAUCCUAUUAUUUGGUAUUUCAUUUUUUGUUGGUUAGUUUUGGUAAGUUUAUGACUAAUAGCUAGAGGUUGGUAAGUUGAGAUUUAUUUGGGCAUUUAUGUAUGUUUUCCUUUUUUUUUUAAUUAUGAAUUUAGAAUUUGAAGUUAGUGUUUAGAAGUAGAUAUUGUUUUUUGUAUCCAUCUACAUUCAGCUUCUUGCUCUCCAAGAUUAUAACAGGAGAUGUUUCAGUUAUCCUCCACUUAUUUCCAUAAUUUGUGCCAAAAUAAUCAUAGGCACAUCACACAUUCCCUUUACAAAUGUAAUGGAUCCCACAAUAAAUAAAAUCUACCUUUGGAAUGUUGCCCGGCAAUGCAAAAAGAAUUGAAGAGCUUAUGUAUGCCACCACCGGACUUACAAUCAGGGGGCCAAGCGACAUUUACUUAAGAGUGCUUAAUUGACCACUUUUUAUUAAAACAUUACAUUAUAUAUAGUUAAAAUAUUAUAUUUUAAAAAUAAAUAGCAUAUAUUAAACACUCUUUGUCAAGAAAUUAUUUUUACUUUUUUCAGAUUUAAAUACCAUUAAAAAAAUUCUGACUUCAUUAUUACUUAUAAGUGGGGCUCAUAAAAAGAGAUGAGUGCAGUCUAGCUUGUAAUGCC
rnacentral:lncRNA from 1 species